UCCUAGCCCCGAUUGUAGCGAAAAUCCUUUUUGAAAAAAAGAUUGCAGCGGAAAGCGGGAAAUUGC
rnacentral:sRNA from 1 species